rnacentral:rRNA from 1 species
CACGUAGGGCGCAAGCGUUGUCCGGAAUUAUUGGGCGUAAAGAGCUCGUAGGCGGUCUGUUACGUCUGCUGUGAAAACCCGGGGCUUAACCCUGGGCUUGCAGUGGAUACGGGCAUCACUGGAGUUCGGCAGGGGAGACUGGAAUUCCUGGUGUAGCGGUGAAAUGCGCAGAUAUCAGGAGGAACACCGGUGGCGAAGGCGGGUCUCUGGGCCGAUACUGACGCUGAGGAGCGAAAGCGUGGGGAGCGAACAGG